UAGUUGGUAAGGUAAAGGCUUACCAAGACGAUGAUGUGUAGCUGGACUGAGAGGUCGAACAGCCACAUUGGGACUGAGACACGGCCCAAACUCCUACGGGAGGCAGCAGUAAGGAAUUUUUGGCAAUGGAGGAAACUCUGACCGAGCGACGCCGCGUGAACAAUGAAGUACUUCGGUAUGUAAAGUUCUUUUAUUGAAAAAGAAAAAAUAGUGGAAAAACUAUCUUGACAUUAUUCAAUGAAUAAGCCCCGGCUAAUUAUGUGCCAGCAGCCGCGGUAAUACAUAAGGGGCGAGCGUUAUCCGGAAUUAUUGGGCGUAAAGGGUGCGUAGGCGGUUUGAUAAGUCUAUAGUUUAAUUGCAGUGCUUAACGCUGUACCGCUAUAGAAACUGUCUGACUAGAGUUAGAUAGAGGCAAGCGGAAUUCCAUGUGUAGCGGUAAAAUGCGUAAAUAUAUGGAGGAACACCAGAGGCGUAGGCGGCUUGCUGGGUCUUAACUGACGCUGAGGCACGAAAGCGUGGGGAGCAAACAGGAUUAGAUACCCCUGGUAGUCCACGCCGUAAACGAUGAGUACUAAGUGUCGGGUUUUGGCUCGGUACUGAAGUUAACACAUUAAGUACUCCGCCUGAGUAGUACGUACGCAAGUAUGAAACUUAAAGGAAUUGACGGGACCCCGCACAAGCGGGGGAUCAUGUUGUUUAAUUCGAAGAUACACGAAAAACCUUACCAGGUCUUGACAUAAUUUUGCGACAUUAUAGAAAUAUAAUGAAGGUUAUCAGAAUUACAGGUGGUGCAUGGUUGUCGUCAGCUCGUGUCGUGAGAUGUUAGGUUAAGUCCUAAAACGAGCGCAACCCUUGUCGUUAGUUGCGACCACAUAAUGGUGAGCACUUUAGCGAGACUGCCAAUGAAAAAUUGGAGGAAGGUGAGGAUUACGUCAAAUCAUCAUGCCCCUUAUGAUCUGGGCUACAAACGUGAUACAAUGGCUGUUACAAAGGUAGGCUGAAGAACUUUUUAGCCAAUCCCAAAAAAACAGUCUCAGUUCGGAUUGAAGUCUGCAACUCGACUUCAUGAAGUUGGAAUCGCUAGUAAUCGCGAAUCAGCAUGUCGCGGUGAAUAC
rnacentral:rRNA from 1 species